rnacentral:rRNA from 1 species
GCAGUCGAGCGGAUGAGUGGAGCUUGCUCCAUGAUUCAGCGGCGGACGGGUGAGUAAUGCCUAGGAAUCUGCCUGGUAGUGGGGGAUAACGUUUCGAAAGGAACGCUAAUACAGCAUACGUCCUACGGGAGAAAGUGGGGGAUCUUCGGACCUCACGCUAUCAGAUGAGCCUAGGUCGGAUUAGCUAGUUGGUGGGGUAAUGGCCCACCAAGGCGACGAUCCGUAACUGGUCUGAGAGGAUGAUCAGUCACACUGGAACUGAGACACGGUCCAGACACCUACGGGAGGCAGCAGUGGGGAAUAUUGGACAAUGGGCGAAAGCCUGAUCCAGCCAUGCCGCGUGUGUGAAGAAGGUCUUCGGAUUGUAAAGCAC